ensembl:snRNA U6 U6 spliceosomal RNA
GUGCUCACUUCAGCAGCACAUGUACUAAAAUUGAACAAUGCGGUGAAGAUUAGUGUGCUUCCUGUGCAAGAAUGACAUGCAAACUUGUGAAAUGUUCCAUGCUUUU